GUUUUCUUUCUCUGUUUCUCUUCUUUGGCUCCUCCCAUUUCUCUCUAAUUCUUUCUUUUAUCUCUCUGCUUUCUUUCUCUUUCUUUCUGAACCAUAUCUGAUGGAAAUCAAUAAGAACAACAAGAUCCUAGAAAUGUUCGUGAGAUUAUUCAAGAUGCAAUUGCACAAGAAACUCCAAUCACAAGGACUAGAAUUUAGAAGAUGCAAGAGUUGAUUGAG
rnacentral:misc_RNA from 1 species